rnacentral:misc_RNA from 1 species
AUAUCGUUCCUGUCCUUUCCACCGCACUCCGAAGCAUUUCUUCCGUUUCACGAGGAACAGCAGCCAGCUCUCACGGCACCCGUCUCUCAGUGAGCCAACAGCAACAAAAAAACGAGAACCUUCUCAUCGCCCCCUGUCCUUCACCACUUCUCUCCCACACACAGACACACACACACACCUCCCCACACCUUUGCGUGCGUGCGUGCGUGUGUGUGUGCAGUUUUCUUUUUUUGUUUUGUUUUCCUAUUGUCGUUUACGUUUCCUCGCUCUUCUUUCUUUUUUUGGGGGUGUCCCUCUCUUGCAUCACUGCCACCAUCACUGCAUUGCCUCUCCGGCUCCCCAUUUCUCGCUAUAUAUAUAUAUAUAUAUAUAUAUACAUACACUCACCCGUUGUCCCACUCACUUCCCUGACUUACCCUCGGCAAUGCAGCGCCCCGCCUGCGUCAGCUUUGUGCGCCGCAUGGCCACCGCCUCCCUCGUCUCCGCCGCGGCGUGCCAGGCACCCGCCCGGUUCAGCUCCGACUACGUGAAUAAAGCCGCCAAGAAGAAGCUGGAGGAGGGCGAAGACGAGCGGUGGCUCGAGGCCGAGAUGGAUAAGAACAUCAGCACACCAGAAGAGCGCUACGCCCAUGCUCGCGAGAUCGAGGCGCUCAAGCGUAUGGUCUCUCAGCUCAAGGAAGAGCACAAGGACAACCUCGAGGAGGUGAAGCGUGAUCGAAACAGUGAGCUUGAAAGCCUCAAGAAGGAGAUGACCGAGCUACAGAAGAAGAUCUCAAAGCUGACCGAGAAGUAAGGUGAGGAAGGGAAAAGGAAACAGCAGCGCAACCUCGCAGCACGUUCGUGUUAUGUGACACCGCACCAGGGUGUGUCAACGCGGAAGUCAAGGGAUUUAUAUUCACAGGGAUGAAUGUGAGAGUGCGUGCGUGUGCACGUGUGACGUCAGGUUAGCGUCUUUCACUUGUGCCAAUCACCACCUGGCACGAACACAUAAGCACGCACACGGAGGGAGACACUCUCAUGCGUGUGUCCACAGGCAUGAGAGUGUCUCCCUCCCUCCCUCUCUUCUGCCUCGACUCUGUAACCCUUGCUUGGCUCUCUUUUCUUUCGUUUCUUUCUAUACAAGUCUCUCCCUCCCUCACUCGUCAUGGUGUUGGUGGCACAUCCUUCCCGUGCACCCCUUCGUUCCCGCUCACGCGCAUGAUGAAUGAGCAGCAAAAACAAACGCAAAGAUUUUGAAAGGCCGUCCUUGUGGGCAUUUCUCGCAAGUGGGGGAGGGGGCAUCACCCGCGCGAACCGGCAGAAGAUGGCGA